rnacentral:tRNA from 1 species
CCCUCGAUAGCUCAGUUAGUAGAGCGGAGGACUGUAGAUCCUUAGGUUGAUGGAUCAAAUCCGGCUCGAGGGA